rnacentral:misc_RNA from 1 species
GUGAAUCAUCAAAUUUUUGAAAGAAAAGGGAAAGGGAGACGGAGAGUAUGCCUGUUUGAGGGUCAGCCUAAAAAAAAAUCGACAUAGUCGCUGUUUCGCGGUGACAUUCGUCGGAAAUUGGGUCAUCUUAAACCUUUGGGUUUUAAGCGGCUUAAAAUUUGCUUUACGAUUCCACGAACGUUUCUAAGAUUUACUUCUUAUACGUUUAAGGUAUCGAUCUUUAUUAGACGUGGACGUUGCAUGGGAUCUCGUCCAUAAAUAUUGAGUGAACUGACCUCAGACAGGUAAGAACACCCGCUGA